GAUGUUGAUGCAACCCUGGAGCAUGUGCAGG
rnacentral:piRNA from 1 species